AUUUUAUAUUUGGAUGAGUUUAGUGAUUAGAGUUUAGGGUUUAGUAUUUAGAAGGUGAGAGGGUAUGGUUAAGAUCAACAUUAACUUCUUCCAUACAAUCAUGUUCAUUCAAUGUACUAUGUUAUUUGUUUUGUUCUAUUCUAUGUGGAUUUUGAAUUUAUGUUUGAGUUUAUGGUUUAUAUUUGGGUUUAGUGUUUACUGAUUAGAGUUUAGGAUUUAGUAUUUAGGGCUUGGGGUAAGACUGAGGUAAAGUUUAGUAUCUAGGAUUGUGAAUCGGAUAUGUUUAAUAUUUAGGGGUUGUAAGUAGAGUUAUAAUCCUAUACUACAUCGGUGAUAUGGAAUAGAACACUCGUGCAUAUGUAUGUGAUGAAUAAAGGUAUACGUGGGUGGUUCUUCCUUCUUUUAUUUGGAAUAGUUUUCAGGUGUUCUAGACCUUAUAAUUU
rnacentral:lncRNA from 1 species